GUCCACGCCCUAACGAUGUCAACUGGUUGUUGGACGGCUUGCUGUUCAGUAACGAAGCUAACGCGUGAAGUUGACCGCCUGGGAGUACGGCCGCAAGGUUGAACUCAAAGGAAUUGACGGGACCCGCACAAGCGGUGGAUGAUGUGGUUUAAUUCGAUGCAACGCGAAACCUUACCUACCCUUGACAUGUCAAGAAUCUUGCAGAGAUGUGAGAGUGCUCGAAAGAGAGCUUGAACACAGGUGCUGCAUGGCCGUCGU
rnacentral:rRNA from 1 species